AAAAAAAAACUUUCAAGUUGUGAUUAUAUUGGGACACAAAAAUUGAAAUUGCAUUUUUUAUCAAAUUUUCUCAUUCUCGCAUUUUGGGACUAUAAUGCAAAUCAUUUUGUGUACAAAUUCCUCAAAAUAAAAAUCACUCUAAUUUUCUAUGAGUAAAAUCACAAAUCAAUUUUUCAAAAAUCAAUAACACUUUUGCAUACGAAACUUUUGGAAUAAAAGUGGACAUUCGAUUGAUGGCCGUGGAUUGAUAAUUUUAAUGAUGUUUUCUCUUAUGAUAAAAUCUUGGCAAAAUACUAAAAUCCCGUAAUAAGGAUUGUGGGGCAUGUAUCGUCGCCUCGAUUUUAUUAUAAGAAGCGACGUCAUUAAAAUAUCAUUUUUCUCUUAUUCACAUAUUGACAUUGUCAUCUUUUUGCAGGUUAUGCGCGAUGCUCUUUGACAUUCUCAUGGUGACCAUUCAAGGACAUGAAUUCUAGAGCUAGGACAAGAGUUGUUUUUUACUUUCAUCUGUAAAAGAGUCUCUUGUAUUUUAUCAGUCUUUAUUCUUGUUAAGAAACAUGUUUUCCGUUUUAGGUUUUGAUUUGCAAAUCCAAUUUAUGCUCUUGUAAAUUGUGCGACUCACAUUUUUAAUGAUGGAAUUCGAAAAUCAUCAUUUAAAAAAAAAUACAAAAAAGAGAGCAAAUUUAGAGGUGUUUUAAGUGAACCUAUACAUUUACCUUCCAAAAUGAAUCUCAAGAAAAAUUUGUUUAAUGCCCUCUCUUCAUAUAGUCAUUUUCUUGGGCUCAUCGAACUCGAGGAGCAAGCAUGCGUCGAGGUUUCAUUGGCGCCAAUUUUCCGUAAAAGCAGAACGAAGUCAAAUUCCAUUCUGAGAAGUUUUGUUAUUCGCAAAUGCCUUACGUGCCAAAAUAACCCG
rnacentral:lncRNA from 1 species